rnacentral:misc_RNA from 1 species
GAUGAAGAACGUAGCGAAAUGCGAUAAGUAAUGUGAAUUGCAGAAUUCAGUGAAUCAUCGAAUCUUUGAACGCACAUUGCGCCCGCCAGUAUUCUGGCGGGCAUGCCUGUUCGAGCGUCAUUACAACCCUCAGGCCCCCGGGCCUGGCGUUGGGGAUCGGCGGAGCCCCCCGUGGGCACACGCCGUCCCCCAAAUGCAGUGGCGGUCCCGCCGCAGCUUCCAUCGCGUAGUAGCUAACACCUCGCGACUGGAGGGCGGCGCGGCCACGCCGUAAAACACCCAACUCUUCUGAAGUUGACCUCGAAUCAGGUAGGAAUACCCGCUGAACUUAAGCAUAUCAAUAAGCGGAGGA